rnacentral:rRNA from 1 species
GACGUAGGAUGCAAGCGUUGUCCGGAUUUAUUGGGCGUAAAGAGUUCGUAGGCGGUUUGUUAAGUCUGAUGUUAAAGACCGGGGCUCAACCUCGGAAAUGCAUUGGAUACUGGCAGACUGGAGUGCAGUAGAGGCUAGUGGAAUUCCCAGUGUAGCGGUGAAAUGCGUAGAUAUUGGGAAGAACACCGGUGGCGUAGGCGACUAGCUGGGCUGUAACUGACGCUGAGGAACGAAAGCCAGGGGAGCAAAUGGG